GCGGGCCCUUAUCCGCCGUAAAGCGAAGUUGUUCUUUGGCAAAUGGGGUGGGGGCAAAAUCGCGAAGUUUCGAAGCGCGGGCAACAUCCGGGCAACAUCUGGGGCCCUCGGUCUGAGGCGGCCUGUGUGACUUGACUUUUUAGGAAUUGCAGCCAUGCUGAAAUGUGUGAUGAGCGGCAGUCAGGUGAAAGUAUUUGGGAAAGCAAUCCAAGCUCUCUCACGAAUUAGUGAUGAGCUGUGGCUAGACCCCUCUGAAAAAGGUCUUGCUUUAAGAUCUGUGAAUUCUUGUCGGUCAGCAUAUGGAUGUGUCCUCUUCUCUCCUGUGUUUUUUCAACAUUAUCAAUGGUCAACCUCAGUGAAAAUGAAUGAUACUGACAUAAUAUUGAAUUUAAAUUGCAGAUUGGGAAUGAAGUCAAUUCUGCCCAUCUUUAGAUGUCUGAAUUCCCUAGAGAAAAAUGUGGAGAAGUGCAAAAUAUUUACCAGAUCUGAUAAGUGCAAAGUAGUUAUUCAGUUCUUCUGCCGACAUGGUAUUAAAAAGAUUCAUAAUGUGUGUUUUCAAGAAAGUCAGCCUUUGCAAGUUAUUUUUCAAAAGAAUAUGUGUGCUAAUACACUAGUGAUUCAGCCAAGGGUGCUUGCUGAGGCAGUUGUUCUUUUUACAUCGAGUCAAGAGGAAGUUACUCUUGCUGUUACUCCGCUGAAGGUUUGCAUUAAGAGUUCUAAUGAGGAAUCAAUGGACCUGACCAAUUCUGUAUACAGUGAGAUGUUUGUUGGUCCAGAUGAGUUUGACUUCUUUCAAGUUGGAAUUGACACUGAAAUAACAUUUUGCUUCAAAGAACUGAAGGGCGUGCUGAUAUUUUCAGAAGCUAUACAUGCUCCUAUAGCCAUUCAUUUUGACUUUCCUGGGAAACCCAUGGCUUUAAGUAUUGAUGAUAUGUUAUUGGAAGCCAACUUUAUUUUGGCUACAUUAGCUGACGAGCCAAGUAGAGCAUCUUCUCCACAAACACUGUGUCUUUCACAAAAACAAAAAAGGUCAGAGCCGAUACAUUCAAAUUCAAAGGCUGGUAAAAAUGCAGCCAGCAAGGUCCCAGAGUAUAUCUCAAGAAAAGUAGAACUGAAAAGGCUGUAUUCUGAUGAGACUCCCAUGAACACCUCUACACUGGAAAAUUGUGGCAGCCCUUUAAUGAAAAGAGCGAACAAAGACCUUACUGAAGUACCCGAAAGCAGUGGAGAUAUUAGUGAAGUCCCAGAAAGCAGUGUCAGCGACACAGAAGAAGUGCCAGGGUCUCCAUGUCUCAGGAAGUUAAGAGAAGACACUGGAACAUAAUACCUCGACUAAAAGGAACGAGAUCACCAGUGCUGCCUGCAUAGGACGUCAAUGAGAAAGUUCUUUGAGUGUCUUUUGCUAUGCUGCCUGUGAGAGACUCGCUGCCAUUGGACAGUUCGUCCUCUUCUCCCAACACUCCCACCCAUGAGCUUGGUGUUCCGCCAGCUGCAGUUUUGCCCAUUUUGAUUGAACAUACUGUGCUGCUGGAAACUUUUGACUGCACUGAAACACGAGCUGCAAUCACAUGCUAGCAAACUGUCUCUGGGCUCCAGGGGAAGCAACCUCCACCUCACUGGCAGGACAGGCCAAGUCCUGCCCUGACCAAACUGCCCCAAAGAUAGUGUCUGAGGUACCUCAGGGCCGCUCUAGCACUGGGAAGCCAAAACAACAAGGAUCAAAUAAAGGAAAAUUAAAAACACUGUUUCUCCAAAAACUGUUAGCUGAACUUGACAUUUACCAAGGUCUUGGGGUUCUAAGUUUGCCUCACUCCAAUGUGACUAAUAUCGAUGUGCUAUUACAGCCAACUGAAGAAGGGCCUAUAAUCAAAUUUUCUUCCAAUUAUGGUAAUCUGCCUUACUCUGAAAGUAAAAAAAAAUGCUUCCCUCUCUGUAGGAGUCAGCAAUAGACUUUAGAUGGGUAAUAUGGAGCACUUAUAUAAUAUGCUCAUUCUAGUUAAAAGAUGGCAGUAAUCAUCCUUUUACCUUAGUUUGGACCUAAGAUUUGGCUUAAUAAGAACUAUUAAGUAGAGAUAAUCUGUACUUGCUAGGAUGCUUCUACUUUUAAAACAGGUUCAUUACCCAUUUUACCACGUUUAUGAAUUGCCAACAAUGUUUGUGUCAAACCCUAUAAGGUUGUUAAAGGCAGUGAAAUCUGAGACUGUGUUAGUAUUACUCUGUACUCUGAGCUGAGAAAAGAUAAACUAAAAAGUUGAUUCAAAAAAGUACUGAUUGUCCUAGAAAGGUCUUGACAGUUUAAAAUGAACUGAGAAGGUGUUGGAAGAAAAAAAAGCACACAUCUCAAGAGCACCAUCACAGAACAUUCCUAAGACCACCUUUAAGUCCAUUUCCUGCAAGUUAACUUUGCCUGACAAGUUCUGUAAGCACUGCAAGUUCCAUUUGAUGCACAUUAUAGGCAGCUCUGAGAAUCAGGAAGUUAUUCUGAUAAAUAAAGCAGAUGUCUAUUUGCAUUCUUCCCUAAUAACAUAUGCAAAAUCUUGUAUAUGGGACGGCACACAUGAACAAUGACUCACUUCUCCAGCACUACUUAACAAAUACAACUGUAUGUGCCAUGUGGUCUUGGUAUGAAACUGAUAUUCUAUAAGCUUGAAAUAUAUUUUCACAGUCAGGUCAAAAUACUAGGUGUUUAUCAGAGUUCAACUUGGCUGGAAAUCAAGUUCAAGCAGAAUAUCUUUCAAUGUCAGACUAAAAGGUCUCCAAUGUGUCUUCUCUUCUCAUGUGAGAAUGAAAAAUGCCCAUCUUCAACAGCUUAGUUAAGGGGAAUGGGAGGGAACCUGUUGGUGAGAGAGG